GUGCUUGCUUCAGGGACACCCAUACUAAAAUUGGAAUGAUACAGCAAAGCUUAGUAUGGCACCUGUACAAGGGUGACAUUUCAGUUCAUAUUUAGUAGCCAAACUUCU